rnacentral:rRNA from 1 species
AACGAACGCUGGCGGCAGCCUUAACACAUGCAAGUCGAGCGCCCCGCAAGGGGAGCGGCAGACGGGUGAGUAACGCGUGGGGAUCUACCCAUCUCUACGGAAUAACGCAUGGAAACGUGUGCUAAUACCGUAUACGUCCUUCGGGAGAAAGAUUUAUCGGAGAUGGAUGAGCCCGCGUUGGAUUAGCUAGUUGGUGGGGUAAAGGCCUACCAAGGCGACGAUCCAUAGCUGGUCUGAGAGGAUGAUCAGCCACACUGGGACUGAGACACGGCCCAGACUCCUACGGGAGGCAGCAGUGGGGAAUAUUGGACAAUGGGCGCAAGCCUGAUCCAGCCAUGCCGCGUGAGUGAUGAAGGCCCUAGGGUUGUAAAGCUCUUUCACCGGUGAAGAUAAUGACGGUAACCGGAGAAGAAGCCCCGGCUAACUUCGUACCAGCCGCCGCCGUAACAC